AUUUCACCAUGACUUAUCAGUAACCUGAUACCUGCAUAUUUUUGAAAUUAUAACAGGGAGAAGUCUGGCUUGUCUCUCUGGUCUUGCUGCCUUGGAGCCCCACGGUCUGCUGUGAUCAGUGGCAUACUUGUGAUAAAAGCCAGGGGCAGCCUGGGGGGGCUCCUAGUGAGUGGACACUAGUAGAGGGGAUGGUGGUGAAUAGGCUGACAUUUUGGCUUUCGUCUCGGGAGGCUGGUGACUUUUAGUGAGGAAUUCCAUGUUGAAGUAUCGCCAAGGAACGUCCAAUACAGCCCGGGCUUGAAGGGAGUGCUUCGAGCUGCUUUUCAUAUUACAGGACCUCAGUCCACACAAAGAGCCUCCCAGGCUCUGCUCAGCCCUGAGGUCCUCUCUGCUCCCAUG
rnacentral:lncRNA from 1 species